rnacentral:rRNA from 1 species
UACGAAGGGGGCUAGCGUUGCUCGGAAUGACUGGGCGUAAAGGGCGCGUAGGCGGAUGGCAUAGUCAGAUGUGAAAUUCCCGGGCUUAACCCGGGGACUGCAUUUGAUACGUGUCGUCUGAGUUCGGAAGAGGGUCGUGGAAUUCCCAGUGUAGAGGUGAAAUUCGUAGAUAUUGGGAAGAACACCGGUGGCGAAGGCGGCGAGCUGGUCCAUUACUGACGCUGAGGCGCGACAGCGUGGGGAGCAAACAGG